rnacentral:lncRNA from 1 species
CCAUAUAUCCAACUGUGGCUAGGGUCAUGGUUUCUGUCAUCGAAUCUCCACCACCGAUGAGUCUUGCAAUGCCAAAAUCAGCAACAUGUGCAACCAUAUCAUCAUCUAAUAGUAUAUUGCUUGGUUUCACAUCACAAUGAACGAUAGGUACCGAGUAACCAUGAUGAAGAUAUUCCAGUGCCAAUGCAACAUCUUUCAUUACAUCCAGCCUCUGCAGGAUAUUCAUGGAGCGGUUUGGAGAAUACAACCAGUUUUCGAGGCUUCCAUUAGGCAUCAAUUGAAGUAUCAGGGCUUUGAAAUCAAGUUCAUCGCAGCAACUUAUGAUUUUAAUAAGAUUUCGGUGACGGAUAUUGCUUAGCAUUUCACAUUCCUUAUCAAAACUCUUGAAUGCCCCUUCUAGCUGUAAAUUGAAAACCUUGAUGGCGAUAUCUAUCCCGUCUGAAAGUGUUCCUCUGUAUACUGAGCCAAACCCCCCCCCGUGCCUAGUAAGUUACUUUCAUGAAAUCCAUUUGUUGCCUUUACAAGUUCUAGGCGCAAAACUCUUCUCCAAAGAACUUGAUGUAGCGAGCCAGUUUCUCUAACAACUUCGACAUUCCUUUUCUUGCAUAGUAUCAGAAUCAAUGCAGCAGCCGCUAGGAAUAUUACUGAUAUGACCCCUGAGAUGAUAUAUUUAGCUUUCCUCCAAUUUGGCUUCACUUUUGUUCUAUUUUUGCACAGUGGAACAUGGAGUCGGGAAGCACCACAGAGCGCACCGUUGGAUACAAAUGAAUCAGCAAAGAAGUUUCAGAAAGGCCCGCCGGUUGGAAUUUCUCCUGGAGUUUGUUGAAAGACAAAUUCAGAUGCUUGAGAUACAAGAGUGCUUCCAAUGACUUUGGGAUCUCUCCAGAUAGAUUAUUUUGGGACAAAUCCAAGAAUUCUAGCCUUAGCAAGGUUUUAAAUGAACUAGGAAUAGGGCCUUGUAAAUAAUUGUUUGCCAAGGACAAAUUAAUCAUAUUUUGAAGACCACCAAUGCUACCGGGAAUGUUUCCGGAGAAGUGGUUAUUUGAUAAAUCUAUAUCCACCACUUCUUUCAACUUUCCGAUGUCUUCUGAGAGUGGUCCAACUAGAGAAUUGGAUGACAAGUUUAGGUGCAGUACAUACUUGAGUUCCCACAAGGAAGAUGGUAUUUUUGAAGUUAACAAAUUGGACUCUAACGAUAGAUUUCUUAGAGCUACUGCCAACGCACCCAAGCAGGAAGGAAUAGAACCAGAGAGCCGAUUAUGACCCAAACCUAACUCGGCUAGGUUGUUUAGUUGACAGAGUUCAUACGGGAUAUGUCCUCCCAGUUCGUUAUUGUGCAAAUACAAACCUAGGAGAUUUUGUAGCCUUUGUAUUGAAGUUGGAAUUGCUCCGCUCAACUGAUUGAUUUCCAGAUGUAGUUCUAUCAAGCUGCUCAAGUUGGCAAUAUCAACGGGAAUGUUACCCCUGAUGUUGGAAAUGCUUAAAUCAAAAUAUGUGAGUGGCGUAGAGAGAUUCCCACGAAAAGCUGGAAUCGUGGUGUUUAAUGGAUUACCUCCCAAGUCUAGUAGUGUCAAAUUUCUAAGAUUAAACAAGCAAGAGAGAGUAGAAGCAUCAAUCGUCAAAUGAUUCCAGAACAAGACAAGACGCUCAAGGUUUUUCAAGGAACAGAGCGUGAUGGGAAGAAACCCGGUAAAAGAGUUUGUGUCCAUGUCUAGGGCCCUGAGCUUGGAAGCAUUGGAGAAGUUAGGGAGUGUCCCGGCCACGAGGUUAUUGGAGGAUACAGAAAAGAAUUCUAGGUUUGGAACGUUAAAACCUAUGUUUGCUGGGAGGCCACCUGAGAGCUGAUUUAAAGUAAGCGAUAUUACUCUAAUCAUGGAGUUAUUGAAGAGCUUGGAUGGGAUGACACCAUUGAGAUUAUUAGCACCCAGUCUCAAAACCUCUAAUUGCGGAAGAUCACCAAUCUCAUCCGGUAUUGUACCUAUCACAAUGUCAACACGUUUGCAUUAACUUUGUAACUUCAGUUUAUCUAAAAACUAAAAACGAAAUGAUUGUAAAACGCCCCCAAAUUUAUUACCUGUUAAAUUAUUGAAACGAAGAAAAAUCUCGGUUAAGUAGGUCAAAUUGCCAAGACUUUUGGGUAUGCUCCCACGGAAAUUGUUAGACUCUAAUGCAAUUACACGAAGCUCUUUGCAUUGCCACAGUUUGGAGGGAAUCAGACCGUCAAGCUGGUUUUGAUUCAAAGAAAAUCGUUGAAUACUCGAAAGAUGCUCACACAUAUUGUCCGGAAGAAUACCACUCAUGUUGUUUUCGGAUAAAGCCAAAGUAGUCAAAGAAGAUAUGUUAAGGACAGGCACAAAAGCAGAGCCUUUUAGGGCAUUGUCCUGCACAAACAACUCCUCCAGCUGACCUAAACUGCCUAUCUCGUUCGGAAGUUCUAUAAAAUCAAUCCGUGUAUAUUGUUAAAAUCAUGUAUACAUAUAUAGGAGCAGCUUCUUAGUGGGAAUCCCGUUGUACCAUAGCAAAAGUGGGAUACAUUUUAAGGACCAUGUACUCACCAUAUAGGACCUCUUUUUUGCUCUAGAAUACGAGGGUCUUACACGGUCAAUAUACGAUCCUACAAUAGUCCUCUCAUCUCAUUUUUGCUGAAGUUGAACAAGAUCCCAGCUAAGAAGGGGCUUGUGUUUAUGUGUGUGUGUGUGUGUUUGUAUAUAUAUGUAACAAAACCUAAGUCAUACAGUAUACCUUCGAACUUGUUGUCGUCAAGGUAUAUGCCCUUCACCAUUGUUAAGUUGCCUAUUUCUCUGGGUAUGCUACCUGUUAAAUAUGUGCAUGCAUUCCAACAAAAAAGAAGGAAAAAAAAAACAAACGAGAUGAUUGUUAUACAUCUUAUAUAUAGAGGUUAAAAUGAAACAAAGAUGUUAAAAUGUAAUGAUGAAGCAAGCAACAUUAAUUUAUAUUCCUAGGUAGUUGGUAAUGGUGGUAUGUACGUACCCGAUAGUUGGUUCCUCAUCAGGUAAAUGUUUUCGAGUGCAGAUAAGUUGAAGAUAGCAGCGGGUAUGAAACCAGAGAAGUCAUUAUCGUACAAUUUGAUGGUUUGAAGUUUAGCAAAGGACCCAAACCACAAAGGAAUGGUUCCCAUAAAGCUGUUGUUUCCAAAGUUAAUCGCCUUCAACCGGCACAAACGAGGCAGUUCUUGGGGUAGGGGACCAUGAAAACUAUUAUUCUGAAGGCCCAACUCAACGAGAAAUGAGAGGUUGCCAAGAUGCGGAGGAAUAAGUCCGGCAAGACCCAUGUACGGGAUAUUUAAGGCCGUGACUCUGUGGUGGCGAGCACAGCAGGUAACGCCAACCCAGUUGCAAAUGUUGGAAUUGGAGGCAGAGGACCAGUUGGCGGUCAAGAUGUUUUGAGGGUGAGCCUUGAGAGCAAGAAGCGCAGAUUGAUCUGUGCUGAAAUUGGUAUGAGCUAUUGCUAAUGCUCCUGCAGUUAAGUAAUUAGCCACAAUCAUCAUAUAGAUAUAACACAAGCAUUGUAUCAUCGACAACAUCUUUGAUAGUAGGAAACGACUUCUCACCUUAAUUGUAGUAGUUUUCGUCUUUCGGUAUAAAUUCAAUCGAAAACUAGAACUCAUUACAUUCACAUAAAUAGGGAAACAAGUUGGUGUUACCAAGACUUGCGAACGACUUUAGUACUGGUUUGGUACUGAGGUGCUUUUAUAAAAAGUGGGUAUAAAAAAAAACUGAGCUCAAAAAGGUGUUUGGUAAACACUUAAAAACAGUUUAUUUUCACAUUUUUGGGUGAAAAAAAAUUAAAAGCGUGAAGCAGCAAAAAUAAGCUUAUUCUCACAGCACAAAAUAAGCAGUUUUUUUUUCAAAGCACAGCAAUACCAAACCAGCCCUUAGACUUGCCUGGCUUCUAUGUCAAGGUGAGGAGACUUUAGAUUUUUUAACAUAUCAAACACACACCAAAAUUAGGAUGAUGCAAUAAAUUAGGUUUGUGUUACCUUUUGGUUUUGGUAUCCUAUUUGGGUUUGGUUUUGACUUCUUAGUUAGUUUCCUUGGUGGAGAAAUUUUGUUAAUUACCUAUUUGAUUAGGUUUUGGAUUUAUUUGCUAUUAGGAUUCCUAUUGUAACCUAAGUUCUAUGCACUAUAAAUAGGACCUUAGGGUUAGUGUAUUUUGUGUAGCUCAUUCGUGUGGCAAUUUGGUGAGAGUCAAUUUGUGAGUUUGUGAGUUAGAGAGCAAUUUGGGAGAAUCUUCUCCGUUAGUUUGAGUUCUCUACUCAUUUGGUUUAGGUUUUGUAAUUUGUGGGAUUUGGGUUGUGAGAGUUUAAACACUCUUUUGUAAUCUCCAUUUGUUUAGUGAAAUUCCUCGCCGUGCUUCGCCCGUGGAGUAGGCUUUACGCCAAACCACGUAAAUCUCGUGUCAGUUUGAGAUUAUUUGUUUUUGCUUUCACCUACGACGUUCAUAUUUGGUACUUUGUUAUAAUUCGCUUCCAUUUGCACAUAAAAGUACAACAAGUGGUAUCAGAGCCCAGGUUUCGGCUUGGGCUUUGCUUGGUAGUCACUAUGAAGCCUUCUGUGUCAUCGGUGAAAGUUGAUAUUGAAAAGUUCGACAGCAAUGACUUUGGUAUUUGGCAAUUGAAGAUGCGUGCUUUGUUAGUUCAACAAGGGCUUUUGAAAAUGCUAAAGGGUGUGAAGGCUUUGCCGAAUUCGUGGACUGAUGAAGAAAAAGAAGACGUUAUGGAGCGGGCACUUGGAGCAAUCCUGCUGACUUUAUCGAAUGAAGUCUUGCGUGAAGUUGGUAGCAUCAAAUCUGCACUGGAGUUGUGGAUAAAAUUGGAGAGCUUGUAUAUGACCGAAUCUCUUGCUAAACGGUUGUAUUUGAAGAAAAGUUUGCAUACUCUUCGUAUGGAUGAAGGUACGUCAAUUCAUAAGCAUGUUGAUGAAUUCAAUAAACUUAUGAUGGAUUUGAAAAGUGUGGACAACCAAAUUAGUGAUGAGGAUUAUGCGAUAACUUUGUUGUGUUCUUUAUCUCCUUCAUAUGAACACUUUGUCGAUACCAUGCUAUUUGGUAGAGAAAGUCUUAGUUUUGGAAGAUGUUAAAGUCGCUUUGAAUUCUAAAGAGCUGAAGAAUAAAGUGUCUGACACACAAGAUGGAGCUUUGGUAGUUCAAGGAAGGAAUAAGGAAAGGAGCAAACUUGGAAAGAACACUUGUAGCUAUUGUUAUAAGGAUGGUCAUUGGAAAGUAGAUUGCCCUAAACUCAAAGGCAAAAAGAAGUUGUUUGAUAAGUCUUUUGCUAGUGUUGAUGCAAACAUUGCAGAAGAUCGUUGUUCUGAACUCCUCUAAAGGUUAUGUGAAGAGGUGGAGCUUGGUACUCAAGCUCUUUGGGUGGAGUGCAAUUCGCACUUUUUGUUCGUAUGUUCAAGCUUUUGCUUGGAUUUUAUUUUGUAUUUGUUAGUUUCCAUAAUGGAAUUUGUUGGAAAAGGCGUUGGAGGAAAUUUCAAGUUUGAAGACUUUUGGAUUUUUUGAGUCUAGGUGGAGAUCAGUUUUCGAAAGAAUUUGGUGCACGUUUGCGUUUGUAUUUUGGUAUCCCAAAUUUGGAAGUUUGCUAAUUUCUUUUCGAGGUGGAGAUUGUUGGGUUUUUGGCUCAAAAUUAGGAUGAUGCAAUAAAUUAGGUUUGUGUUACCUAUUUGGUUUUGGUAUCCUAUUUGGGUUUGGUUUUGACUUCUUAGUUAGUUUCCUUGGUGGAGAGAUUUUGUUAAUUACCUAUUUGAUUAGGUUUUAGAUUUAUUUGCUAUUAGGAUUCCUAUUGUAACCUAAGUUCUAUGCACUAUAAAUAGGACCUUAGGGUUAGUGUAUUUUGUGUAGCUCAUUCGUGUGACAAUUUGGUGAGAGUCAAUUUGUGAGUUUGUAAGUUAGAGAGCAAUUUGGGAGAAUCUUCUCCGUUAGUUUGGGUUCUCUACUCAUUUGGUUUAGGUUUUGUAAUUUGUGGGAUUUGGGUUGUGAGAGUUUAAACACUCUUUUGUAAUCUCCAUUUGUUUAGUGAAAUUCCUCGCCGUGCUUCGCCAGUGGAGUAGGCUUUACGCCAAACCACGUAAAUCUCUUGUGUCAGUUUGAGAUUAUUUGUUUUAGCUUUCACCUACGACGUUGAUAUUUGGUACUUCGUUAUAAUUUGCUUCCGUUUGCGCAUAAAAGUACAACAAUGAUGACAUACAUUUUGAUUCAAAUGCAAAUGCAAAUGCGACCAAACACAUAACAGUCACAUUCUUCCGGUUGAAAUGUUUUCGACGGCGUUUACAUAUAAUCAAGCUCUCGUUGAACACUCUUCGGAUUCGAAAAUCAUCUAAACUUGGCUAAUUAGUUUUUCUGAACAGAACAAAGCAAAGAUGAUACGCAAACGGUCCAAGAAUUACGGUCUUAUGCUUCUAAAUUAUUAAUCACGAUCGCAUGUAAAAAUUCAUUGCAGCAAUAACGAAGAAGGGAAGCAACAACCCGAGAUUGAAAAUUAGUUCAGAUACGUACAUUCACUAUCAUGCAGACUUGCCAUUGGAGACAGCUCUGAAUAUGCAAAGGCUUUUUUAUAUGACUGCAACAAGAGAGGACAUACCACGCUUAGAGAUGAAGCAGGCCUGCACCUGCAAGCCACGGUGGUAAUCGAAUUCCAGUGAAAGGGGCCAAAACUCCAGCCCCCACCGGCAUGCUGAGGAUAUUGUAGCCCCGCGCCCAGAUAUAAUUCAAUCGAAUUCGAGACAUGGUCUUUCUAGAGAGAUCAAUGGCUGUAACUACAUCUUCCAAGUUGCUCUUCAUCAGAACUAUAAGCAGCUUCUAUACGUCGGUGCCAGCACCAAUUGCCAUGCCAACAUCUCCUGCAACAAUGGCCAGAGAGUCAUUAAUUCCAUCUCCCAUCAUUGCCACCGCCAUUCCUUUCAUCUGCAUCCAAAUCCACUUUAACAAGUCAGAAAACACUAUGUUAGAUAGAUAACUCACAUAUCAAGUCAGAAACAACUUAAUAUAGAAAAAUGAGUUUGAAGAUUUGCAUAAGACAUUAUUUUACCCUAGAUAAGUCAUUUGAAAUAUAAUUUAGUAAUCCUCAAUCUGCGUUCAAAACCCGAACAAAAUUACUUGUGGAGCUGGGUAAUUGUAAUCCACUCACACCACCCCUGUAACUAUAAUAUAAUCGUAACUGUAAUUCUUUGAUUCUAUCAGCUUUUCCUAGUGGAUCCGUCUCAGCAUACAGCUUAUCAAUGCCAACCUCCAUCACUCUGGCUGCCGCUGUAGCCCAGUUAUCACCAGUAACCAUGAUGCUUGUAAUGUUUAUCGAGUGAAGAUAAGAGAUGACUCGUGCAGCCUCUAGCUUCACUGGAUCAGUUACAGCAAAAGACCCAGCAAUCUUUCCAUCAAUGGAAACCAACACACACAUUCGAGCUAGAUUAUUAUGUUCUGAAAUGUACUUGUCAACCUCAGGACCAACCUGGACAUUAUUUUCCCGCAUGAGCCUCACCAAUCACCAUUUACCUACAUAUUUCUCAAAUAGAGGCAUGUUAGCAUGAUUGACAAAAUAAUUUUACAAUAGCAUAAUAACAAUGAGGUGUCUCAUCUGUAACUUAACUGUACAAACUAAAACUUUUCAUGUAAAAAUUUGAAACAUAAGCACCAACCUCUGUAACAAUAGACACAACACAGAACUCCUCCAUUGAGUAAUUGGAGAAGAGCACAGCAUUGGCUACUACGGGUUUCCCAACUGCCAGAGUCCCUGUUUCAUAAAAAACAACUAUUUUCACUGGCAGGGAUCAAACACGGCCGUAAACGUCCAGACACCAACAAAGUGUCAAAUACUAAGAAACGUAUCAACCUUCAUGAAUUAGGUACCGUCUGUUCAGCUUUUAAUUUUGGAAAGAACAAAACCCCCAAAAAGGACAAAACAAUUAAUAGCCUUGUCAUAAAAAAAAGGAGUUGGGGUAGAGAGAACUCUCCUUCAAUGAGAGCUGUCAUCUACAAGAAAUGGGGAGUUAAAACUUGGCGAGUACGGCUUGGUGACAUGGACAAGGUGCAUACAGCCAUCAAUCGUCCAGAACCAAUGGGUCAUAUGAGACAGAUUCCAACUAUGAAAUAAUAGUUGCAUGUUCAAUCCCAAUAUAUGCAGGAAGAACAUCCUCCGUACCCAAUGACAUAGAUUGCAUUUAGUUUUAUGUCAAGAGCCUAAACAUUGAUUGAACCAAGGCAGACCGUUUUACUGGUCAGGAAUGAAGUGCAUAACUUGUAAUCAUACGGAACAUUCACAUAAUGUAUGGUGGUAGCAUAGGGGAUAAUAUGAAAUGACCAGAACAAUAUGAGGAGAGCAACUUCAUAAUGGAGGAAAGGAAAGAAAAAAAAACUACACUUGCACCCUCAAGACAUAUAGAGAAUGUAUCUAAUCAGAAAUUGUUUUUUCCUAAACCACAACAAACAGGUUUUCGACGUCCUCAGAAGGAAAAGUAGGAACAAGCAUAAUGAAGCAACUAAACACACCAGCAAAAACAACAUGAAAAUAAAAUGCAUGAAAACCAGAUUCUAAAUUAAAAAAGAAAUUUGUUUCCAAGGAUAAGGUGGUCUUACCUUGUAAGCCUUUUUGAGUACACUAGCAAAAAUGCCCACACUCCGCUGCGGGGACUUCUAGAAGUAUGAUCUUGUACCAUCUGAUUUCUUUUGCCAUUCCUAGUUCUUUUUGGCAUCAUGUGCAAACCCAAAUUGAUAGCUAGGAAGAAAAAAUGAAAACACCUGCAUAAAUUCAAUUUUCCAUCACUCCUAUAUUAUAAUUAAAUAAAGCAAAACACAAUAAUCAUCGCACAAUUACAGAAGCAAGGACUUUCAAAUGCCCCAAUUAGUUAACAACCACUAUGCAUAAUUCUGAAAAAAUGAGUAUAAAAUUAACCUCUUUUGAAAAACGAAGGAAGAAAGAUGAAACCUUAAGCCAAGGAAUAUAACUAUGUUGAACUCAAUUAUUUGACAUUAAUUACACAAACCCAAUUCCAUAUAUAUAGCCAGACAGAAGCUUUAUCCUAGAGAGAAACCAUGCCCAAAUGAUUAUAUAAUCUCCAGACUGAGUGUGAAUUCAGAGCAUGAAGGGGAAGUGAGCUCCUUGGUUCCCACAUUGUAGAGACUAAAUCUCAAAACUUUGCCAAGCAUGACAGGAAACCAUGGAAAGAAUAAAAUGACCACAAAGAUUGCAAAACAAUUAACCACAGGUGGUGUUUAUAUGCCCACUGAGAGAAAAGCUUCUGCAAGUGAAAAAACAGGCAUGUACCAUCUGAAAGAGCCUCUUGUAUCCAUUCCAAUUAUACUUAUGUCUACCAUAUCCCUCUACAAUUCCCCACCACCAAUCAACCAUAACUGAUUUCAAUACCCUUAGCUGCUUUAGUAGACCAUCUGGUGACACCUAACAGACACCAAAAUAAAAGACAAGAUCAAGACCAUACAGAUUACAGACUAAGCUUAAAAACAACUGUUAUCUAUUGAGCAAAACUUGAACUCCUUGACAUGGCAACCUCUUAAUCCAGGAUGUAGAGUAGGAAAGAAAAAUUAUUGACAAACCGAAAAAUAACAAUUUAACUUGCAUAGAAAACGAAUAUUAGAAAAGUUACAUAACUCAAUGGAUUACAUAAACCAGUAAAAAAGCGAAACAUCAGUGUUUGGGAAGUUACCUUAUUUGAAACGUCAGGAGCAUUUGGUGUUCAUACAGGGUAGACAGUCCUUGCAAAAUUCAGGGCUUCAAAAUAAAAUAAAAAAAUAAAUUCAAAACAAAUCAAAACUAUUAAUCCUAACAACUAUUUAGUAAAGGAUAAAACAAUCUUUCCAUCAACCAAAUUUGAGAAACAAGUAAUGAAUGGAAUAACCCAAUUUCUAUCGCCAAUCACCCUUGCUGAAUGAUGAUUCACAUACUUCCUCAUAUUUGUUUAUGGGUUCGUAUCCAACAAAAUUUCGACUUAGUACCCAAAAACUGUAUCAGCUCACGAACACACAGAGGUUUAUCAAAUUGAAAGCAAAACCCACAUAUAUUCUCAAGAUUCUAGAGUUAAAAGAGGAGCAAGGAGGUUCGGUUACAGAACCCAAAACGCUAUUUUAAUGAGCAAAUGAAAAACAUGUCUUUCGAUCGAAGUUGCAUAAAUUACAUAACUUUGGGAUUAAGGAGGAACAACAACAACAACAACAACAAAGCCUUUUCCCACUAAGUGGGGUCGGCUAUAUGAAUCCUAGAACGCCAUUGCGCUCGGUUUUGUGUCAUGUCAUCCGUUAGAUCCAAGUACUCAAGUCUUUUCCUAGGGUCUAUUCCAAAGUUUUCUUAGGUCUUCCUCUACCCCUUCGGCCCUGAACCUCUGUCCCGUAGUCAUAUUUUCGAACCGGAGCGUCAGUAGGCCUUCUUUGCACAAGUCCAAACCACCGGAACCGAUUUUCUCUCAUAUUUCCUUCAAUUUUGGCUACUCCUACUUUACCUCGGGUAUCCUCAUUCUCAAUCUUAUCCUUUCUCGUGUGCCCAUACCUCCCACGAAGCAUCCUUAUCUCUGCUACACCCAUUUUGUGUACGUGUUGAUGCUUCACCGCCCAACAUUCUGUGCCAUACAACAUCGCGGCCUUAUUGCCGUCCUAUACAAUUUUUCCUUGAGCUUCAGUGGCCUACGACGGUCACACAAACACGCCGGAUGCACUCUUACACUUCAUCCAUCCAGCUUGUAUUCUAUGGUUGAGAUCUCCAUCUAAGUCUCCGUUCUCUUGCAAGAUAGAUCCUAGGUAGCGAAAACGGUCACUUUUUGUGAUCUUCGCUAGAUUGCUCCGGUCAUUAGUGUGGAUAAGUAUAUAAAUGGAUAGAGAUAGGAAAGCAAACACAAGAUGUAUGUGGUUCACCCAGAUUGGCUACGUCCACGGAAUAGAUGAGUUCUCAUUAAUUGUGAAGGGUUUACACAAGUACAUAGGUUCAAGCUCUCCUUUAGUGAGUACAAGUGAAUGAAUGAUUUAGUACAAAUGACAUUAGGAAAUAUUGUGGGAGAAUGAUCUCGUAACCACGAAACUUCUAAGUACCGGAGUGUGGUAUCGUCUUGACUUGCCUUAUCUGUCUCAUAGGUAGAUGUGGCAUCUUCUCUGGAAGUACUCUUCCUCCAUCCAGGGGUGGUAUCUAUAACUGGUGGAGAUGCACAAGGUAAUGUAUCAAUUUCACUUGAAGCUUACUUGUAGUUUCAGGCUUGGUCAAGCGCGAUACAAACCAUGUAGUAGGAGUCCCCCAAGUCGCCGAGCUAGGGGAUCUUCUGGAAGAGGUGACAGACAAGGUAAGCAAUCAGAUCUCUGGCUGAUUGUUCACAUUCUCCCUAUCUUGCAGGCAGCAUGAAGGAUAAAGAGAAGAAAAAUGAGAAGAGAUGAUAUGGGAUACUUUUGCUUUUGAAGAAGUAACUUUCCACAGGCUUAUUCUUGAACUGGGCUGGAGGGUUUUCUGGUUUCCUCCAGAGUAUAAGGCCGACUGAAGAAUUUGAGGGUCAAAACAAGUUCAUCAAAUCUAGAGUACGUUCGACCCUGCUGAUAUGGGAUACUUUUGCUUUUGACAGAGUAGUGGAUGUAUCGGCACGUGUGCUGUUACGCUUGUCUCCACAUGCUUCCUUGUAUCCUUCUCACUUGCCCUAUCUGUUCCUCAGGCAGAUGCGGUAUCUUCCCUGGAAGCAUAAGAUGUUGAAGAUGAGUACUCGAGAGCAAUGCCAGGUAAGUAAUCAGGUAAGGGGUUCCAGGCAGUCAGUUCCUGGCUGGAAGCUUGAUUCCAAGUGCUGACUGAUUGCUCUCUUUCUCCUUGUCUUGCAGGUAAGAACAAGGCCAAAGGAAAAGACAGGGAAAAAGCAUGAUAUGGGAUACUCUUGCUUUUAACCCUGAUGAUAUGAGAUAUUCUUGCUCUAGUAUAGCUUGUUUACAGAGGUAUUAUCGGGGGGAAAGAAAGCUGAAUAUUUCGAAAGGCUUCGUUGGGAGUGCCCUCUCAGAUAAGAGGAAGGGUUGAGCAUUUUUGCAGGUCUGCCUGUCCGUUGGGGAUGGAGGUCGACAUAUAUAGGAGUCUCCCUAACAUCAAGUAAUAAUGCUAUUCCUUUACCCUGCUUGGUCAUAGCACGGUAGUGGGAGCUGCCAGCUUCACAUGUUUUAACUCUGUCAGAGCACUUUGAAAAAGUGGUCUGUGGUAUCUGGAAAGCUGAUGUUGCGUUUGAAGAUUACAGACAAGCUUUAUCCAAGGAGAUCGAGCUCUUAAAGUUGGGAAAGUGGUGCCUCUUCGGUUUUUGAACAAGCAAUCCUGUCGGGGAUCUGGCUCUCGAGAUUCGGAGAACGAUGCCUCUUCGAUUUUUGAGAAAGCAAUCUUGCUGGGGGUCUGGCUCUCGAGAUUCGGAGAGCGGUGUCUCUUCGAUUUUUGAGAAAGUAAUCAUGUUGGGAGUCUGGCUCUCGAGAUUCGAAGGGCGGUGCCUCUUCGAUUUUGGAGCAAGCAAUCUUGUUGGGAGUGUUUUCUCGAAUGUGAGUAAAGGUUGGGCAUGUUUGCUAGUCUACCUUGCCACGAAGCACAGAGGUUGACACACAGGGACUUUCCAAUUAUCCAGCAGUGGUACUGUUCCUUUACCCUCUCUUCGAUUUUUUUAGAAAGUAAUCAUGUUGGGAGUCUGGCUCUCGAGAUUCGGAGGGCGGUGCCUCUUCGAUUUUGGAGCAAGCAAUCUUGUUGGGAGUGUUUUCUCGAAUGUGAGUAAAGGUUGGGCAUGUUUGCUAGUCUACCUUGCCACGAAGCACAGAGGUUGACACACAGGGACUUUCCAAUUAUCCAGCAGUGGUACUGUUCCUUUACCCUUGUGGGUAAUAAUAUGGUAGCUAGACCUUCAAAAUUUAUGUGUCUAAACUUUGUUAGUGUUGUUUCUUUGCUAUUCUUUUACCCUUCUUGGUCAGAGCGAUGUAGUGGGAGCUGCAAGCUUCACGUGUCUCAACUUUGUCAGAGAACUUUGGCAAAGUUAUCUGUGGUACCCAUGAGCUACUGUUGCGUGUGGGAAGUGGGUGAUUGAACAGUAAGAUUCAUGUGCUUUUCUACUUCGCCAGAAAUCUUCGACAGAAUGCCCAUAAUUUCCGCAAAGCUGAGUGUGCGUGUGACAGGUGCUGACAAGGCUGGAAAAGUAGGUGCCUCUUCGAUUUCUGAGAUCGGCCCUCGUGGUCUCUGAGCAGCCCAGCUUUUGAGAAAAGCAAGCCUCUUUCGAUUUCUGAGAUCGGCCUUCGUGGUCUUUGAGCAGCCCAGCUUUUGAGAAAGCAAACGCCUCUUCGAUUUCUGAGAUCGACCCUCGUGGUCUCUGAGCAGCCCAGCUUUUGAGAAAAGCAAACGCCUCUUCGAUUUCUGAGCAGGCGCCUCUUCGAUUUCUGAAGCUUCCGUCGAGUGCAGAUUUUUAUAGGGGCUGGCAUUAAGUUCCAAAGCACACUUGAAUCUCCACCAGUAGAAGCUCCAUUCUUGCACUUCUAAGAUCUUGAUUUGUCCGACCUCUUCUCUCUUCAACACCUUUGAAAAUGUCUGGCCCCUCCGACCGUCGUUUUGACUUGAACCUUGUUGAAGAGGCAGCCCGCCUUCUCCAGACAACAUAUGGCGCCCAUCCUUCGUCUCCCCUACUGGUCCUCUUACCGUUGGGGAUUCCGUGAUGAAGAAUGAUAUGACCGCUGCGGUGGUGGCCAGGAACCUUCUCACUCCCAAAGAUAACAGACUACUUUCCAAACGGUCUGAUGAGUUGGCUGUUAAGGAUUCUCUGGCUCUCAGUGUUCAGUGUGCAGGUUCUGUGUCUAAUAUGGCCCAACGCCUAUUUGCUCGAACCCGCCAAGUUGAAUCAUUGGCGGCUGAAGUGAUGAGUCUCAAACAGGAGAUUAGAGGGCUCAAGCAUGAGAAUAAACAGUUGCACCGGCUCGCACAUGACUAUGCUACAAACAUGAAGAGGAAGCUUGACCAGAUGAAGGAAUCUGAUGGUCAGGUUUUUACUUGAUCAUCAGAGAUUUGUGGGUUUGUUCCAAAGGCAUUUAUUGCCUUCGUCUUCUGGGGCUGUACCGCGUAAUGAAGCUCCAAAUGAUCAACCUCUGAUGCCUCCUCCUUCUAGGGUUCUGUCCAGUACUGAGGCUCCGAAUGAUCCCCCUCCGGUGCCUUCUCUUUCUGGGGCUCUACCGACUGCUGAGACUUCUCCUAAGCAACCUUUGUGAAGGCUCCCUCUUGUUUGUUUAUUUUGACUCAUGUAUAUGUACAUAUUUGUAACUUAUCGGGGAUAUCAAUAAAUAAGCUUUCCUUCAUUUCAACGUAUUGUGUUAAAUACACCAAAGCCUUCUUCGCUAAGUUCUUUGAAUUUUUCUUUUGUUGAAGCUUGUAUGUUGAAGCUUUGUGAGUGGAGCAUGUAGGUUGAGGGUAGUGUUCCCUUAAUUUCCCGAGUGAGGAAAACUUCUCGGUUGGAGACUUGGAAAAUCCAAGUCACUGAGUGGGAUCGGCUAUAUGAAUCUUAGAACGCCAUUGUGUUCUGUCCUGUGUCAUGUCCUCCGUUAGAUCCAAGUACUCUAAGUCUUUUCUUAGAGUCUCUUCCAAAGUUUUCCUAGGUCUUCCUCUACCCCUUCGGCCCUGAACCUCUGUCCCAUAGUCGCAUCUUCUAAUCGGAGCGUCAGUAGGCCUUCUUUGCACAUGUCCAAACCACCGUAACCGAUUUUCUCUCAUCUUUCCUUCAAUUUCGGCUACUCCUACUUUACCCCGGAUAUCCUCAUUCCUAAUCUUAUCCUUUCUCGUGUGCCCACACAUCCAACGAAGCAUCCUCAUCUCCGCUACACCCAUUUUGUGUACGUGUUGAUGCUUCACCGCCCAACAUUCUGUGCCAUACAGCAUCGCCGGCCUUAUUGCCGUCCUAUAAAAUUUUCCCUUGAGCUUCAGUGGCAUACGGCGGUCACACAACACGCCGGAUGCACUCUUCCACUUCAUCCAUCCAGCUUGUAUUCUAUGGUUGAGAUCUCCAUCUAAUUCUCCGUUCUUUUGCAAGAUAGAUCCUAGGUAACGAAAAACGGUCGCUCUUUGGUAUUUCUUGAUCUCCGAUCCUCACCCCUAACUCGUUUUGGCCUCCAUUUGCACUGAACUUGCACUCCAUAUAUUCUGUCUUUGAUCGGCUUAGGCGAAGACCUUUAGAUUCCAACACUUCUCUCCAAAGGUUAAGCUUUGCAUUUACCCCUUCCUGAGUUUCAUCUAUCAACACUAUAUCGUCUGCGAAAAGCAUACACCAAGGAAUAUCAUCUUGAAUAUGUCCUGUUAACUCAUCCAUUACCAACGCAAAAAGGUAAGGACUUAAGGAUGAACCUUGAUGUAAUCCUACAGUUAUGGGAAAGCUUUCGGUUUGUCCUUCAUGAGUUCUUACGGCAGUCUUUUGCUCCUUCAUACAUAUCCUGUAUAGCUUGGAUAUAUGCUACUCGUACUCCUUUCUUCUCUAAAAUCCUCCAAAGAAUGUCUCUUGGGACCCUAUCAUACGCUUUUUCCAAAUCUAUAAAGACCAUGUGUAAAUCCUUUUUCCCAUCUCUAUAUCUUUCCAUCAAUCUUCGUAAGAGAUAGAUUGCCUCCAUGGUUGAGCGCCCUGGCAUGAACCCGAAUUGGUUGUCCGAAACCCGUGUCUCUUGCCUCAAUCUAUGCUCAAUGACUCUCUCCCAGAGCUUCAUUGUAUGACUCAUUAGCUUAAUACCCUUAUAGUUCAUGCAAUUUUGUACAUCGCCCUUAUUCUUGUAUAUAGGCACCAAAGUGCUCGUUCGCCACUCAUUUGGCAUCUUCUUCGUUUUCAGAAUCCUAUUGAAAAGGUCAGUGAGCCAUGUUAUACCUGUCUCUCCCAAAACUUUCCACACUUCGAUUGGUAUAUCGUCUGGGCCUACUGCUUUUCUAUGCUUCAUCUUCUUCAAAGCUACAACCACUUCUUCCUUCCGAAUUCUACGAUAAAAAGAGUAGUUUCUACACUCUUCUGAGUUACUCAACUCCCCUAAAGAAGCACUUCUUUCAUGUCCUUCAUUGAAAAGUUUAUAAAAAUAACAUUUCCAUCUGUCUUUAACCGCGUUCUCUGUAGCAAGAACCUUUCCAUCCUCAUCCUUGAUGCACCUCCCUUGGUUUAGGUCCCUUGUCUUCUUUUCCCUUGCUCUAGCUAGUUUAUAGAUAUCCAACUCUCCUUCUUUGGUAUCUAGUCGCUUAUACAUAUCAUCAUAAGCCGCUAACUUAGCUUCUCUAACAGCUUUCUUCGCCUCUUGCUUCGCUUUUCUAUACCUUUCACCAUUUUCAUCGGUCCUAUCCUUGUAUAAGGCUUUACAACAUUCUUUCUUAGCCUUCACCUUUGUUUGUACCUCCUCAUUCCACCACCAAGAUUCCUUUUGGUGUGGGGCAAAGCCCUUGGACUCUCCUAAUACCUCUUUUGCUACUUUUCGGAUACAACUAGCCAUGGAAUCCCACAUUUGGUUAGCUUCCCCCUCUCUAUCCCACACACACUGGGUGAUUACUUUCUCUUUGAAAAUGGCUUGUUUUCCUUCUUUUAGAUUCCACCAUCUAGUCCUUGGGCACUUCCAAGUCUUGUUCUUUUUUCUCACUCUUUUGAUAUGUACAUCCAUCACCAACAAGCGAUGUUGAUUAGCCACGCUCUCUCCUGGUAUAACUUUGCAAUCCUUACAAGUUAUACGAUCCCCUUUUCUCAUUAGAAGAAAAUCUAUUUGUGUUUUUGACGACCCACUCUUGUAGGUGAUCACAUGUUCUUCUCUCUUCUUAAAGAAGGUGUUGGCUAAGAAGAGAUCAUAUGCCAUUGCAAAAUCCAAGAUAGCUUCCCCAUCCUCGUUUCUCUCCCCAAAACCAUGGCCACCAUGAAAACCUCCAUAGUUGCCUGUCUCCCUGCCCACGUGUCCAUUUAAAUCUCCUCAUAUAAAUAACUUCUCCGUCUGAGCAAUUCCUUGCACCAAGUCUCCAAGGUCUUCCCAAAAUUUCUCCUUUGAACUUGUAUCCAAUCCUACUUGAGGUGCGUACGCACUAAUCACAUUGAUAAGUUCUUGUCCUAUUACAAUCUUGAUUGCCAUGAUUCUAUAUCCUACCCUCUUGACAUCUACAACAUCUUGUGUCAAGGUCUUGUCCACGAUGAUGCCAACACCGUUUCUCGUUUUAUUUGUGCCCGAAUACCAUAGUUUAAACCCUGAGUUUUCUAGAUCCUUUGCCUUACGACCAACCCACUUAGUUUCUUGUAGGCACAUAAUAUUUAUCCUUCUCCUCACCAUAACUUCUACUACUUCCAUAGAUUUUCCCGUCAAGGUUCCUAUAUUCCACGUUCCUAAAUGCAUUUUGCUCUCUUGAACUCUACCCUUCUGUCCUAGCUUCUUCACCCUUCCCCGUCUAAUAGGAUCAAAGUACUUCUUUUGUGUGUCCCGUGUAAAGUUGAUAGGAGCAUAUGCUCCCAAACAACUUUGAGUGGAGUCGUUCGAAAAGAAGUUUCUAUAGCCCCCUUGCUCAUUUAACACAGCAUCCGGGUGCCGAUGGAGAUACAGCGACCCUUGCUCACUUAUCACUGUGCUCGGGCCACACAGCGCGCCACUUACGGGUGACGCCCUAGCUUUAGCGCGAUUUCGUUCUGGAUUCAUUUUCAUAAAGAUUCAACGUGAUCAUGGAGUGCCGGCUGUCGACUACCUGACGCCCUCCCCCUCCUCCUUUAUCCGGGCUUGGGACCGGCAAUGUAAGAUAAACUUACACGGCGGAGUUGGGAUUAAGGAGGAACAAAAAGCCCAAAUUCCAAUAAACCAAAAAAAAAAUCGUAUGUAAAUUUAAGCUUUUCCUGUAGAUUGGCAGCAGCAAAACAUGCUGGAUCCAACGGGAGCCACGUGUGAGAACUGGAUGCCCAGCCUUUGACACAUUAUCGAGUGAGUUUAGGGAUCUGGGUUUUGUGUUUGCCGUUGAAUUUUGGAAUGAUCUGGAGAAAUUUGGGUUUUAGGGUUCUAAGGAUUUGAGUGAACCGAAAUUGAUUUGGAUGAGCAACUUUUAGUUUCGAUUCGCGGUGGAGCAAGGAUGAAGAGGUGGAGGAGGAAGGAAUGAAAGACUUAACUUCUAAAGUUUCAAGUGCUUAGCAAAUUUCGAUCAAUGUAUGUUUCAAUACUUCAAAAAAAGGGACAUGCAUCAAAGACUUUUAGGUGGAAAAAAUAUGCAUUGGCUGAAAUGGAGAUAAUUAAGAUUUAAAAUGUUAAAAAUUUUCUUUUUGGCUCACUAAUUAGAUGCAAAAGUGAGACUGUGUGAACAAUUUUACACCCAGAAACAUGAACUACACAGAAUCACAACUGAUCGAACAAUGAGAAAGUAUAUAAGACAAUACACUAUCAAUAGGCUAAAACACUCUAUUAAUUGAUCUAACAAUAGGCUAAUAGGUUUAACUAAACCAUUAGAGACUGCAACAAUGAGAAAGUCUGAAGAUUAAAGUUCUAGUUGAAUAUCUUUGAACCCCUAGGUGUUGGAAACACUUUCAGUAAAUUUGUUCAGGAAAAUAUAGAAACUCAUGAUGCAAUUCCAUCGUCUGGGAUAGCAAAUAUUUACCUGGAAUCCAACAUUAAGCUACCAUUUUUCAUAAGUUUAUUCUUUUUGUUAACUACACUGGAAUUUAUAAAACAAUUUUAGAAAAACUCGAGUCUAGAUAAUGAACUUUUGUUCCAGUUUAAAAAAUUUUGACUUGUGUUCUAAGCAACAUUAUGUAUUCGCAUUUCAAUUGUGAAAGGCAGCAAUAAUCCCUGACUGAAGAUAUUAAAAAUCAGAACUUCUUCUCCAAGUUUUCAUUUAGUUUAUUUCACUUGUCCAUCGGAAUUUUAUGCAAAGAAGAUUAAAUAAAGACAAUAGCAUGCCAAAGAUUAAAACCCCUCAUUUCAAACUCUGCUAAUGCACAACUCUGUUUGGUUUUCUUCUCCAGAGACCAGACUGAGUGAGGAGUCAAGUUCUCCAGUGCACCAACAAUCUCCCGUUCGAGCAGCCAUCACCACCUCACUUGCCACUCCGGCGAGGCACCACCUUGCCACCACCCUCAUGUCUCACUCCCUCUCUACCACUCUCCCUAUUUCCCUCACCUCUUUCUCUCGAUACUGUGCUCGCUGCACAGAAACAGCAAGGCAACCACCGUCGCCUUUUUUCACAGCGAACUACGCCGUAACGAAACCAUCACCAUUAAUCUCGCUACCUAGGCGAGUUUUACCACCCUCUGCAAACUGCCUUCAUGCCUUCUAAUUUCAAUUCUUGCAUUUCUUGUAUGGUAUCCAUGUCUUGCACAUUCAAAUACUUAUAUACCGACUGAGAAUAACAAUAUAAAUCCCACACCCACCUCUUUUUCCCCACUUGAAAAAAUCACCUAAAAACAACAUUAACCACCAUAGUUUAAGAAUCCAAACAUGGCUCCAAAUUUCAAUCUAAUUAAUUAAAUUACAGAGGAUUCUACCUACCUCAUGAAAACAAAUAUGUUCAAUUAAAGAAAUUCCCUAACCAAUGCAGUGCAUCUUAAACUACUUCUUAACUAUGUCAGCCAUACCAAUCUAAUAAAAAAUCCAUGUUUCAAUCGAUUCUUAUUAAUUCCAACUCCAAGUAUUUCAGCAUCUAGAUUAUAGAAAAAUCAUAACAAAACAAAACUCAAUCUUGGUGCUAAAGCACACUUCGUUAACCUCACCUUCAUCAAGUCCAUGAUUCCUGCCAUGAGAUCUUUCUCUUAAUCCAGACUUGGCUUCAGAUGCAAGAUCAAAAUAACGAAGCAUUCAGUUCCAUUUCUACGCACAGCAAAUUAAAAAUUGAAAUAUGUUAUAAUUUACUCGGAAUCUUCAUAAGUAUCAUCAAAACAUAUAAACAGAUACAUUUGAAAACUGAUAAAGCUACCUAAUUAAGUUGAAAAGUUGCUAAUUAAGAUCAGGUGCCAGUGCAUCCAGUGAGCCUUCCAAGGAAAGAUGGCCCCAUGGACUUAGACCUUGAAAACUGAGGCUUGUUUUGCCUUGUAAUUGUAUGAUCAGUAGCAUUCUUAUGGAUUGUAAUUGUAUGAUCAGUAGUAUCCUUAUGGAUUCCCAGAUGAAUCCUCAAAAUUUUGUUCUCAUCUGUUAGCUUAUGCACAUGGGACAAAAGCCGCUCAAUUGUUUCACACUUCUCCUUGUUUCUCCUUAUCAACUCAGCUCACUGCUGCAUAUUUCGUCAAUGAGUUUCGAGAUCUUUUCAUGCAACAUUUUAUCUUUUUCAACCACAUUACCAUCAGAUUCUACACCAUGAUCAAUACUCUCUUUUUCCAAAUAUUCUUCAAAAGUACACAAACCAACCUUUUUUAGGACAGACCAGCAUUUGUUUGUUUUGAUGGCUCUGAAUUUGGUUUCCGUUUUCUCUUUGUGGUGGUCUGAUCAAGAUGCAGUCCAAAAACUAAUUUGAGUGCCUACACAGAUGAACAUCGCAUAAAAAUCAAAAAUAAAAAACAGCAGCAGAGAUAAAAAAAAAGACAAUAAUUCUAAAAAAAUUUAAAUCAAAAGCUUAAGACUAACUCACAGGAAGUUCUGUGAGUUAAUUUUUUGGGCAAAAAAAAAUUCUAUUAAUGCAUUCUCAUACAAAAAAAAAUUCUUUAAAUACUGAUUUCAUGCGAUCCAGGAGCUAAGUGCUUAAAUCAGAAAAAUUUCUUUAACCCAGAUACUCUUAUAUUGCAGUGCAGCAAAGUUUUUCUUGAACGCUGACGAAUAUCACUCUGAAAUUAACCCAAAUAUAUCUCAGAGAUUGCAGAGAUUCAGACAAUCAAUAAUAAGAUGGCCGGAAUGUUCUUUAUUCAUUUGUCCUCCAUACUCUACCCUAAUCUUCUUAGGAUUUUAGUUAAACAACUUGCUCCUGUAACAGCUAUAUUAAAGCAUAAAUAUUCAUGAACACUCAUCACCAAUAGCAAAAAGGCAUAAAGUAUUUUUACAUAAAUCUAAAGAUCCCUUUUGUGUCCCAAACCCAGGUCUGUCCUCUCUUUGCCUUCCUCCUUCAGGGCAUAAUUAGAGAUACCCACCAACAGUAUAACCAGAAAAAUUGCAGUGAGAUUUUAAAGUACGAACUUUAUUUGAUAUUGCAAUGAAAUAUAACAAAAUGUAAAAAAAUUGUUAUUUUGGUAAUAGACAGUGGAAUAACAGAAGAAGCCGAACCCAGAAAAAUUAAAAACACAUAAUCACAGUAGAAGAAGCAAACCCAAGAAAAUACAUAAAAUAAAAUAAAAGGGUGCAACUUUUAUUGGCGGGUGAAUGAGUAGACAAUAAAAAAAAGUGCAAACUUUGAGUUCAAAACAAACCUCGUACCAUUGAAAUUUGAGACUUGGAGUCGCCCACGUGAAGGGUUUUAUGAGAAGACAGUAUUAGGCGUGCUGAAGUUAGUUUAUGCUUUUAGUUGUAAAUUCACAUCUAAUACUAGUUGAACACAAAUUUCAGCAAAUACACAGAAGAAAUAGCAAGAAUUCAUUUCAGAAAUGGGAAAAAAUUAAAUUAAAAAUAGAAAACAAAGGGCCGAAAAGCUGCAUACCUAAACACAAUUUCAUAUCUUUUUAUCCUCUUCGAGUACCGAUCCAUUCCAGAGAGAGGGAGAGAGGAGGAAGGAGACGACGAAGGGGGAGAGGAGGGAGAGGAAGGCGAGAGGAGGAAAACGACGGAGGCGAUUUACUGUCUGUGUUGUUCUCGCGGGGACUGCGAGAUGAACGAGGUGAGGAAUGACCAGGUGGCUCUGGGCUCAAGGUCAGUGAAGCAGUGGCGAAGCCAAGAUUUACCGAGGGGAGGGGAGGGGCGAAAUUCAAAAGAGUGCAAAGUUAUCGAAUGGUUGCUUUCACAUUGGAGAGUGUAAAGUUUUGAGUCAAUAUUCAUAGCAAAAGAUAGUUUUGCAUCAAAGUUGUUGUAAGCAAUAAUAUCAAAACUAAUGUAAGAAGCUUAAAUUGGCAAAGAUUAUAUCGUAAAAAAUAUUGUGUGCUAGUCAAAUAGUGGACCUAGCAGACCUAGGCGAUAUCUAAGCAGAAGCCUAGAUGGAUUUAAAUUAUCGUAAAAUAAGUAUUAAACAAUAUUUACAUUGUUUUUAAAAAAUAAUACAAUAUUUAUAGAUAAUGUGAGAGUUUAAGAAAAUACGGUGAGAGUCUUAAAAGAGAAAAUAAAAGGGAAGUGUUAUUGGCACUCCAAAAAUCUCAUUCUACACUCCUCACAAGUGUAUUUUUAUUUCUAAAUAUAGAAAAUUUUGAAUGUAGAAUGAGAUUUUUAGAGUGCCAAUAACAAUUCCCAAAUAAAAAUACAUACACGAACAAAAAUUUGAAAAAAAAGAGAGAAAUAGGUUAAUAAGGACAAUACUUGGGUACUGCCUUUUUUCAAUGACUACAAUGUCACUCAGUAAAGUUAAAACAUGUGUCCUACUUUUCUUAUUAAAACUAGCAACCAAACACCCUCGUGUUUAAGGAAGACGGGCAUCCAAACAACCCAUUUAUUCCUUUCGUCCCUAACAUCUCCGCACGUCUGUAUACCAUGGUUUCCAUUGCUCUCAUCAUCACCACUCCAUUUCAAACAUAAGCACAAACACAAACAAUAAUCCAGCAAUAAUUUACCCAUUUGAAAACCCAAUUUUUUUUUUCAAAUCUGGACAAACAACCAAAUUUCAUUGCGACCCGCCACCAAUCCUUAUCUCCUUCGGUGACCCACCACCAAUCCUUCUCUACUUCGACGACCCACCUCCUCUCACUCUCUUCUACAGAAAGACUAACUCCUUGUCCUUCUCUUGAACGACGGCGAUUGCUGAAGACUGUCUCCCCCACAGCAAUAGAAACCAGAUCACUGGAGCGGGAAUUCUCAUUUCCGACGAGAGCGGAGGGGCUGAACGAGCGCUCUUAGGCAUGUUUUCCGGCGAGGGGAGUGGCGGCCGCCACUCCUUACCCUCACGUAGCUUCGCCACUGUCAGUGAGAAAAUGAGAGACCUAAACGGCUAGGUUAGAAAUGAGAGUAUGGGUUGAGGGGCACAGAAGAUCUGGAAAUGAUUUUUACCUUUCAAUUUGGAAAUGAUUUUUGCUGACCACUGUCAUGUUCCGUGAUUUCUUCCAUCACAAGAAAUCAAGUUGGGCUCAAAUUGUAAUAGUUUGGGUUCAAUUUGCAAUUUACAGCUUUUAAGUGGUAUUUUAUUUUAGGGUUAAUAUCAGUUUACUAUCCUGAAAUUUUGUGAUUUUCAAUAUUUGGUACAUGAAAUUUUUUUCAUCCCAGAGUCAUACCUCAAGACUUAAUUUUGGGACAAUUUCAUACAACCGUUAGAAAUUCUGUUAACUAAUGACGUGGUGUUCACGUGGACAAUAAUUGAGCGCCAUAUGCCAAUAUUGGCCCACUCCAAUAUUAAAAAAAAUUAUAAAAAAAAAAAAAAGAAAACCCAACCUUCCCUCACCCACCCCCUCCCCCGGCACCCUCUCCCUCUGUUCUCUCUUCUGCAAGUCCCAGCACCUCUCGAUUUUCCUUCAAUUUGACCCAUUUGGGACUGGGAGCCAAAUUAGACUAGGAGUUGGAAUUUGAGGUUCCAGGGGAAAUGGGGAAGACCCAGAUGGCAAUCUGAUUCACCAUUGGAGAUAAAACUGAAUCUGGAUAUUUGCACAGUGCAAAGCUCAGAUCCGUUCACAAUCAAGCUAUUACAGAAGAAGACUUGAGGUUUGGACUUGCAGGCGGCAACGUUGGCCAAUGUCCACACGUUCAGGCAGAGGCUGGUGACCUCGACGAGGAUCAGAAGGGAGAGAAUGGCGGCUGCACUGUGCGAAGCGACGCAGCAGCAUGUGAGGAAGAUGAAGAGUGUGAUGAGGAUGACAGCGAGGGUGAUGUGGGCGAGGAGAACAGAGGCGUGGAAUUGGAGAAGAGAGAAGGGAGAAGCGAGGGAAGAGGUGAGGGUUGCAGAAGAGAGAAAUGAUGGAGAUGGUGCGGGGGGGUGAGGGACGGGUGGGAUUUUAUUUUUAUUUUUAUUUUUUUUGUUUUUGUGUUUUUGUUUUUAUUUUUUUAAUUUUUUAAUAUUGAAGUGGGCUCAUAUUGACAUGUGGCACUCAGUUAUUGUCCACGUGGAUGUCACGUCAUCAGUUAACAAAAUUUCUAAUGGAAAACUUAACGGAUGUAUGAAACUGUCCCAAAAUUAAGACUAGAGGUAUGACUCUGAGAUGAAAAAAAAAACUUCAUGCACCAAAUGUUGAAAACCACGAAAUUUCAGGAUAGUAAACAGAGAUUAACCCUUUAUUUUACUAGUUUCUUUGUUAGUGACAAGUGGCAAGACAGACAUGUGUAAUGGGUUGGCUAUAUAGCCACACUCUCUCUCUUCCAACUGUUAGAAUGAAUUUAAUAUAAUUUCACAAAAGCUGAGCUAAUCUCUUUCCUUCUUCCUUCUCUAUUUAUGUAUCUUGCUCGGUCAAGGUUGAACGGUAGUUUGAAGUUGGUGGGUAUCUUGCAAGUUCCCUCAACUUUAGACUAUGGUAAUGGUCUAUCCAUUUAUACCUGUGGGUGGUGGUAGUGCCUAGUGGUGGCUUGCUGUUGUCUAUAAAAUGUGUGGCCUUAUGCUUGUUGUAAAUAAUGGGUAUGUUUGCCCACAUGUGUGUACUAUAUACUCACAAGCUAAAUAGUAAUGUUUUGUAAUUUUCCAUUGAAGUGGCUCUAUAAAUAGAGCACUUCAUUUGUGCAAAAGAGGGAUAUAAGAAGAAGAAAUAAAAGAGAAAUAUAUCUAAUAGCAAUAAUAUACAUUACUUCCUCAGCAACAGCUUGUGUUGGUAUAAUACUCUGCAACUGCUUCGUUCCUGUCCCGAGUAAAGGUUAUCUCUCUAUAAAUUUUGCCUAUUUAUAACACGUUAUCAGCACGAGUCUCUAAGUAUAACCAUGUCUCAUUUACAUUCACUAAACAAUAAAGGAAAUCAUUCUCUCUUUUCUCUCCGCCGAACGAAAAAAAAAAAAAAUGUUUCCUCUAAGGUUUUUCCUGUUCAUCUUCUUCAUCUGCCUCAACUGCGCGGUAUAUCCUCGUGACGAACUAUUUGCUCCAUGCCUGCUCGUAGUUCUCCAACUAGCGGUUACAUACAUCUUUGAUUACUUGUUUGGUUUGGAUAUUGAUUACUAACAUAGUAUUUAUAUUGAUUUUACUGCGAUCCAAGAUGGUGCGGUAUCAUCGCCUAUCUUGGACUGCAGAUCUACUUUUACUGCAAAUUUCAGGUGGAGCGGUAUAAUCGCCCUCCUUGCUCUCCAAAUUUAAAUUUACCUGUUAUUUAAUUUCAUUGCAAUUUUAGGUGGUGCGGUAUAAUCGCCCUCCUUGCUCUCCAAAUUUAAAUUUACCUGUUAUUUAAUUUCAUUGCAAUUUUAGGUGGUGCGGUAUAAUCGUCCACCCUGCUUUGCAUAUUUAAAUUUUAUCGCAAUUUUAGGUGGUGCGGUAUAAUCGUCCACCCUGCUUUGCAUAUUUAAAUUUUAUCGCAAUUUUAGGUGGUGCAGUAUAAUCGUCCACCUUGCUCUACAUAUUUAAAUUUUCCUGCUGUUUAAAGUAGUGCGGAAUAAUCACCCAUCCUAUACUUAUUUCGAUGAGAAUGGUGCGGUACAAUUGCCCUUCUCAUUAAUUGUGUAAAUCUCGAGCCUGAAGUUUCGAGUACUUAUCAUUUUGGCCUGAAGAUCAAAAAUUUGUAAGAACCAGAAGUUCUAACAAUAUAUUUCUCCAGUACACAUAUUACUGCAAGUUCUUACACACCUCAUUUUUCUUUCAGAAAAGAAAAUGGCAAACUUGGCAAAGCUUGAUUUUGCUGCCCUGGACAUUACUGGAAAGAAUUACCGUACAUGGGUACUGGAUACCAAGAUCCAUCUGGAAGCAGCAAAUCUUGGAGAAACCAUCAAGAAAGAGAGCAGCUCAUCCUCUCAAGAUCGGGCAAAGGCCAUGAUUUUUAUUCGUCGCCAUCUUGAUGAGGCACUAAAGAGCGAGUACUUAACGGUUAAAGAUCCGUUAGCCCUUUGGAAUGCCUUGAAAAGCAGAUACAAUCACCAGACAACGGUGAUUCUUCCAAAAGCUCGCUAUGACUCGACUCACCUAAGGAUCCAGGAUUUCAAAUCAGUGGCUGAGUACAAUUCGGCGUUGUUCAGAAUUACCUCUCAGAUGAAACUCUGUGGGGAUACUAUCACUGAGGAGAUGUUAUUGGAAAAGACUUUCAGCACAUUCCACGCCUCUAACAUGGUACUGCAACAGCAGUAUAAAGCGCGAGGCUUCACUGAAUACAACCAGCUGAUAUCUGUGCUCCUGGUAGCUGAACAGAACAAUGAGCUUCUCAUGAAAAACCAUAAUUCCCGACCUACUGGAUCAGCACCGUUCCCAGAAGUGAAUGUUGCUUCCCUUGAAAGGAAUACCAUAUCCUCCCGUGGCAAUAAUUACAAACGAGGAUGUGGCCACAAGCAAGGUCGGUGGAAAGGGAAAAGCAAGAACCAUGGUGUCCAGUUUCACAACCAGGUUCCAAGGUAUAAUCCAGGCCCGAGCUUUAAAAAUACCAAUCGCCAGAAAGGAAAAGCUCAUGUGAACACUCCUAGAAAUCAUGAAGGAGGUUGCCAUAGGUGUGGUGGCAACGGACAUUGGGCGCGUACUUGUCGCACCCCAAAGCAUCUGGUGGAACUAUAUCAAGCCUCCUUCAAGGAGAAGGGUGUCGAGAUCAAUUUCCUUGACCAGGCUAAACCAAUGGAAACCCCUGAUCCAGUGACCAAUUUAUCAGGACAAUUAAACACAACCCACCUGGAUGCUACAGACUUUAUUAAUGAAAGAGGGAAUGAAGUUUAUGGGUCCGAUUGAAUUAUUUAUGUUUAAUGUACUCAUGUUUUUUGUACCUGUGGUUUAAUGCUCGCAUUUUCAAUUCAAUAAAAGUAGUAUUCCAGUAUGAAUAAACUGCUUUUUCUUUACUCAGAGAUCAUGGAUAAAAAUUAUGGUUAUUCUCAAAACAAGAUCAAUGGCGGAGACUUUUGUCUUGCAGAUAGCGCAACCACGCAUUCAAUACUUCGAGAUCGAAAGUAUUUCUCGAAUUUGGUACUUGCAAAAGUAAAGGUAACAACAAUAUCAGGACCAUCAGAUGUAAUUGAAGGCUCAGGAAAAGCCCAGAUUAUGUUACCAAAUGGAACAAUAUUGUCUAUAAUGAAUGCAUUAUAUGCUACUCGGUCCAUUCGAAAUUUGUUGAGUUUUAAAGACAUACGUCUAAAUGGAUACCACCUUGAAACGAAAAUUGUAGAAAAUGUGGAAUAUUUAUGCAUUACCUCCAAUGAUACCCAGAAGCGUAUAUUGGAGAAGUUGCAUGGUUUAUCGAGUGGAUUGUAUUGUACAUACAUAAAGACAGUUGAGGCAUAUACUGUCAUGAACCAGAAGUUCAUUGAUUCAAAGGUUUACAUGCUUUGGCAUGACCGUCUAGGUCAUCCAGGAUCUACCAUGAUGCGUAGAAUCAUUACCAACUCUAAUGGACAUCCAUUACUGAGCAGACACAUUAAUGUCUCGAAUGAUAAACCUUGCAAGGCUUGUUCCCAAGGGAAGUUGGUAAUUAGACCAUCACAACUAAAGGUUGAUGAUGAAUCCCCAUCAUUUUUGCAAAGAAUUCAAAGGGAUAUUUGUGGACCUAUUCAACCACCUUGUGAACCAUUUCGAUAUUUUAUGGUUUUGGUUGAUGCAUCUACCCGAUGGUCACAUGUUUGCCUAUUGUCUACUCGAAAUGUAGCUUUUGCAAGACUUCUUGCUUAGAUAAUUAAGUUGCGAGCACAGUUCCCAGAUCAUCCCAUUAAGUCCAUUCGACUUGAUAACGCUGGUGAAUUUACGUCUCAAACCUUUGAUGAUUACUGUAUGGCAUUGGGCAUUGAUGUUGAACACCCUAUUCCUCAUGUCCAUACUCAAAAUGGUUUAGCAGAAGCAUUGAUCAAGCGGCUUCAAUUAAUAGUCCGCACUCUGCUUAUGAAAACCAAAUUGCCAGUUUCUGCAUGGGGACAUGCCAUUCUACAUGCUGCAUCAUUGGUUCGAUUGAGACCUAUAGCCAACCACCAAUACUCCUCAAUACAACUCAUGUUUGGACAUCAGCCAAACAUUUCACAUUUACGAGUUUUUGGUUGUGCUGUUUAUGUGCCUAUUGCACCCCCGCAACGCACUAAAAUGGGACCUCAGCGUAGACUGGGAAUUUAUGUGGGUUUUGAUUCACCAUCUAUUAUUAGAUAUUUGGAACCCUUGACAGGUGAUAUAUUUACAGCUCGUUUUGCUGAUUGUCAUUUUGAUGAGACAGUCUUCCCAUCGUUAGGGGGAGAAAAGACCGUUCCAGAAGAACGGAAAGAGCUGACAUGGGUUGUUCCCACCUUAUCUCAUUUUGAUCCUCGAACCCUUCAAUGUGAAAAUGAAGUGAAAAGGAUCGUUCAUCUUCAAAGCAUUGCCAAUCAAAUGCCAGAUGCAUUUAAUGACGUUAUGAAAGUGACAAAAUCGCAUAUACCAGCUGCAAAUGCACCUGCCAGAAUUGAUGUCCCUGUUGGACAAAAUAAAGUGGCAGCGAAUGAUUCAUCUGGUGCACGCCUGAAGCGUGGUAGACCACCAGGUUCAAAAGAUUCAGCCCCUCGGAAGAGAAAGACGAGAGCACAACUGAAUCCAAAUGAAAUCAUUCAGGAAGAGAGAGUAAAUGACAAAUCCACAAUUCAUGACUCUGGACUUCCAGAAGAAGAAAAUGGCCCUGAAGAGACAGAAGUACAUGAAAGCAAAGAAAUCUCCAUAAACUAUGCAUGUACUAAUGAAUUGUGGGAUCGGAAUGAAAUAAUCAUUGACGAUAUGUUUGCAUUCGCAGUAGCCACUGAAAUCAUAUUAAGUGAUGAUAUUGAGCCCCGCUCUGUUGAUGAAUGCAAACAGAGACAAGAUUGGCCUAAGUGGAAAGAUGCAAUCCAGGCAGAAUUAAAUUCCUUGGAAAGGCGAAGUGUUUUUGGACCAGUAGUCCAAACCCCAACUGAUGUAAACCCCGUAGGUUACAAAUGGGUAUUUACAAGGAAACGCAAUGAGAAAAACGAGAUUGCUAGAUACAAAGCACGACUCGUUGCACAAGGCUUUUCACAAAGACCUGGAAUUGAUUAUGAGGAGACAUACUCUCCUGUAAUGGACACAAUUACGUUCUGUUACUUAAUAAGUUUGGUGAUUUCAGAAAAACUUGACAUGCGACUUAUGGAUGUCAUCACCGCGUAUCUAUAUGGAGAAUUAGAUACUGACAUAUUCAUGAAAGUCCCAGAAGGACUUAAGUUGCCUGAAGCAACAAACAAACCAUGGGGUAUGUUCUCAAUCAAAUUAAGGCGAUCACUAUAUGGGCUGAAACAAUCUGGGCGAAUGUGGUAUAAUCGUCUCAGUGAGUAUUUGAUUAAAGAAGGAUAUAUCAACAAUGUCAUCUGCCCUUGUGUGUUCAUUAAGAAAUCCAACUCUGGAUUUGCUAUAGUGGCAGUAUAUGUUGAUGAUAUGAACUUAGUUGGGACUCCUGAAGAGCUCCAUAAAACUGCUGAAUAUCUGAAAAGCGAAUUUGAAAUGAAAGACCUUGGGAAAACCAAAUAUUGUCUAGGCCUGCAGAUCGAGCAUUGUGUUAGUGGAAUUUUGGUCCAUCAAUCAGCUUACAUUGAAAAAAUACUGAAGCGAUUUGGCAUGGACAAGGCUUAUCCACUUAGCACCCCAAUGGUCGUUCGUUCUUUAGACAUUAAGAAAGAUCCAUUCCGUCCAAAGGAAGAUGAUGAACUGGUCCUUGGUCCAGAAGUACCAUAUUUGAGCGUAAUAGGUGCUUUAUUGUAUUUAGCACAAUGUACUAGACCAGAUAUAGCUUUUUCAGUUAACUUGUUAGCCAGGUACAGCUCUGCUCCAACAAUUCGUCAUUGGAAGGGAGUCAAAGAUGUUCUACGAUACCUUCGUGGGACAACAGAUAUGGGUCUCUUCUAAUCAGACAAGCCCACAAAUGAACAAAUCCUUGUUGGAUACGCAGAUGCUGGUUUUCUCUCCGAUCCGCAUAAAGCCCGCUCACAAAAUGGAUAUGUGUUCACUAAUGGAGAUACUGCAAUUUCAUGGCGAUCAACGAAGCAAACGCUAGUUGCAACAUUUUCCAAUCAUUCGGAAAUAAUUGCUCUACAUAAAGCAAGUCGUGAAUGUUCUUGGUUAAGAUCAAUGAUCCAUCACAUCUGGAAUUCAUGUGGUCUACCUUCAAAGACAGACACUCCAACUGUCAUCCAUGAAGAUAAUGCAGCCUGUGUCGCCCAGAUGAAGGAAGGAUUUAUCAAAGGUGAUAAGACUAAACACAUAUCUCCAAGAUUUUUCCGCGCACAUGAGCUUCAGAAGGCUAAAGUUAUUGAAGUCAGACAAAUCCGUUCCAAUGAAAAUUUAGCAGACUUGUUCACCAAAUCUCUACCAAAGUGCACAUUUCAGAAGUUGGUACAGGGAAUCGGAUUACGUCGGCUUACGGAUUUGAAGAAUGCGGAAUCAGGGGGAGAUACAAUUCAGGGGGAGCAUCCAUGAUACAUGCAUGUUGUACUCUUUUUCCUUCGCUUAGGACUUUUCCCACUGGGUUUUUCCUAUCAAGGUUUUAACGAGGCAACCUAAGCAUGCUCAACACCAUCCGGGUAAAGUUGUACUCUUUUUCCUUCGCUAUGGUUUUUUCCCACAGGGUUUUUCCAAGCAAGGUUUUAAUGAGGCAACUGAUGUUGAUAUGUGGGCAUCCAAGGGGGAGUGUUGUAAAUAAUGGGUAUGUUUGCCCACAUGUGUGUACUAUAUACUCACAAGCUAAAUAGUAAUGUUUUGUAAUUUUCCAUUGAAGUGGCUCUAUAAAUAGAGCACUUCAUUUGUGCAAAAGAGGGAUAUAAGAAGAAGAAAUAAAAGAGAAAUAUAUCUAAUAGCAAUAAUAUACAUUACUUCCUCAGCAACAGCUUGUGUUGGUAUAAUACUCUGCAACUGCUUCGUUCCUGUCCCGAGUAAAGGUUAUCUCUCUAUAAAUUUUGCCUAUUUAUAACUAUGCUUUGUUUAUUGGAUAUUUAUAAUAUUAUACAAUUCCAAUUACUUUAGUCUAAAGUAGGAAAUCCAAUUGCAUUGUUCAACUUCAACUGAACAGUGUUUUGGACCGAAUUUCACUUUAUUUACAAAAUUUCCACCACCCCUAUCUGUCGUUCAAAUUUUGCUUAUAUCUUUGUGCAGUGUGUCUGUUGUAUUAUCUGGUCACAGAUACCUUAGUUCAGUAAUUUGAGAAGCAUGGGGAGACAAUAGACUAAUCAAAGAGAUGCAUGUGAUCAACGAUAAACAAGUAAGCAUCAUCCUCUUCCUUCUUUUGUUAUGAUUCGUUGUAUAGAGAAUUGAGAAAAAAGUUGAAGACAAUUCCGCGCUUUUGAGUUAUAGCAAUUAAUAUCUAAAAUGACAUUGAUUAGUUCACUUAAGUGUUGAAUCCUUCGUUAGUUUAUCUAUGGUGUGUGCUUGAGAAUGAAAGCAAUGGACAUUAUAUAGAAUUGAUGUUCCUUUUAAUGUCAGUAAAGAAAGGAGUUGUUCCUUUAUUAGCAAUUAUAUGAAGUAGGCAUAUUAUACAAUGUCUACAAUCGACUAUUUUACUUUUUGUAUAUAAGUAAAAAUGUUGAUCGAAAGCCACAAAAACUACCUAAGGGCCGAAGAACUGUUUAUGUUAGAAGAACAGAAUAUGGUGUAAAGCUUAAAUUUUGGGCACUUCAAAAUAUGUUUUUUUUUUCAAUUAUAAUAACUUGCAUGAAAAUUCAAUUGGGUUUGUUCUAGUCUCCAAGAAUUUUGCUUUGUUUGGUUACUAAUUAAUUUAUGUGGUGGGAGUUUAGUUUUUCCUUUUCUGCCUAUGUAUAUAUAAUUCGAAAUGGACCGUUCAAUUUGCUAUAUAUAAAUUUGUAAUCGAAAAGCUCGAAAAAGAGGUGAAUAAAAAACAAUGGUGGUAGAGUGAUGGAGUUGAGGAGUUGAGAGUUUACAGGGUUUACUUGAAUUUUUGUAUGAUGUCCCUGGUAUGUUAGAUCAUUGAAACUAACUGUCUGGUUGAUUAAUCACUAAUUUGAAAUAUUUAAAGUGUAACUUUUCUUUAAUUCACUUUUCUUUUGUAUUUUCAUUGGAGUGCAGAUAAAAGAUAUUUCUUUUAUCUUUUUCAACCACAAACUUUCCGAUGUCUUUUGAGAGUGGUCCAACUAGAGUAUUGGAUGACAAGUUUAGGUUUAAUAUAUACUUGAGUUCCCACAAGGAAGAUGGUAUUUUAGAAGUUAACAAAUUGGACCCUAACGAUAGACUUCUUAGAGAUACGUCCUCCCAGUUUGUAGCCUUUGUAUUGAAGUUGGAAUUGCUUCGCUCAACUGAUUAUUUCCCAGGCUUAAAUCUAUCAAGUUGUUGAAGUUACCAAUAUCAACGAGAAUGUUACCGUUGAUGUUGGAAAUGCUUAAAUCAAUAGUUAGGAGUGACGUAAAGAUAUGCUAACAGUUUGGGUCUUUUACGACUUGAAAUAUACGGCGUACAGACCGGCAUGCCUUAAAUGAUAUUAUUCAUGACAUUCAUAAAGUUCAUAUCGUAAUACUUACGCAUAAUCUCGUAUUCACAACAUCACUUUUAUGCAAGUAGUUAAAUAAAAAUAUUUAUGACUUAAGCGUUGUCUAUCGUAUCUCACAAUCCCAUAGUAUUCAAUCUACAACUUUCAUUUACCUCACAUAUCUCAGGUUUUGUCUAUCUCUCUCUGCCUCUCUCACGCAGUCUCUCUCUCGACUUUCACUCUCUCAGAUUCGUAUCUCCCAAUCCCAGCGGCCUCGAUAUCUCUCUCGUCUCCAACCACGAUACCACCAUCAUCUCCUGUCAACUCUCGACUCUCUCCCACCACCUGCACUUGACGGUCCUGACUCCUGACCACCAUCUAUGUUCCAAAUAAGGUAUGCAGUUAGGGAUUUAAGAUUGAAAUAAAUUGGGGUUUUCUAGAUUUAGGGAUUUGGAUUUGGUCAAUUCUGGAAUCAAAUGUUAAUUAUAAUUUGUUUAAUUUUGGCAAUUUGAGUGCAAAAUUAGGGUUUUGUUAUUUCAAGUGUUGACAGUAAGACCCUUUGUCAAUUAGUAACCACUUAGUGCUUGUUUUCGAUCUGUCAUUGAAUACGAAAUCACGACUUUUAAUUUUUCAUUUUACAAGUCAUCAUAAGGAAUAGAUAAUUCUAGAAUUAUAGUGCAAACUCUUGAUUUUCAGUUUCAGACUUGGUUUUGUUUCAGAAUUCUGAGGAAUUUUAAUCAUGGUGUUGGGGAUUUGUUAAUUUUGCUCUCUCGCUCUCUCUCGCUCUCUCUCUCUCUCUCUCUCUAUGAUUUGGUUGGGAUUGCAGAGUGACUUGGGUUUCUUUGUAUGCAUGUCCCGGACCUCCAGGUCACAUGGGGUACUUAGCAAGGUUUUACUUUUGCAAAGGAGAUGGAGAUGUUACAGACUUACAGUGAUACUGCAAUCCAAAUAAUCUGUUUUGAAAAUCCAAAUAAUCUGUGAGUAUGUUGUAGCAGUAGAAUAACACUGUGGGGCUUAGCCUAGUACUUAAAUUAUUGACUUUGUUGCUUAGGAUAAUUUGAUUGAGUUCCUUUGGUAUGAUUUAUAUUCACUUAUUUAUUCUAUUUAUUUUUACUAUUUUUCAGGUAGCAUUCAAGUCUUUGGUGAAAUUUUAAACGAAGAGGUUGCAAAUGCAGCGGUAAUGAGUGGAAAAGUUUAUACUUACUUUUAUUAGUAUUGAAGUCUUUAUCAAUUUCUAAGUUAACAUUUUGUUUUGACUAGCUCGUAACUUACCAAUCGAAUCCAUCCCCUUUGACUAGCUAGAGUAUCUUGGUUGGGAACUCUAUCUGUUCCCAGCGCCUAGUAUCCAAAGAUGAAGUUGAGACGGGUUGGGAACUCUCUCUUUCUCUCCUUUUGUUUUAGUUCCCAAGAAAGUUGAUUGGAUUGAAGAAAAUGGAACAAAAAGAAAUGAAAAAAAAAUUGAAAUUUGUUGGUGCUUAUGUUGAUGUUGAAUUUGUAAUAUAUUAAGACCCAAAAACUAGAUAAAUGGCUAACUUUGAUGUAAAUUGAUAACAGCAAGCCACUAGGUCAAAAAACAGUGAGUCUUACCUUAGAGCUUUUGGGGAUAUCAUAAUUGAUAACCAUAUCCACCGAUCGAAUAUCCAAUCUUGUACUUGCCGCAUCAAUUCUUCAUGCAUGAAAUGUUAAGAGACUCAUAAAUUUAUCUACUUGCAAGUAUAUGAUUUUUAUGCAGGUUAUAGGAAACAAUAAAAUCGUAAAGGCAUAAUUUGUGUAUAUUUUAGUCAUUUGAUACAUGUAUGAGUGUAAAACAAUAAAACUGUGAAGGCAUAAUUUGGGAUAUAGGUUUGUAUGAUAGUGAUUAGUUUUUCUUUCAGUAUCACUUUUCUUACUUGAGAUUAAAUGUGUAUUUCUACAUAUAGCAGCACAAUAGAUUUUUUUUUGCUCCAUGUGCUUAUGUCUAUGCAGAUAGAGAUAGCAAUUAGUGUGGUUCAAGCAUUAGGAGCAGUAUUUCAUUCUCAAAGGACUUUGUUUGAAGGUGUUCAAUGAAAAGUGAAGUCUUUCAAGUGACAAAUUUCUUUGUUAUUAGAGGCCUAUUUGGUAUUUCAUGUGUAGUUUGAUAUUGACCUUAGCUUUGUUCAACUUGUAAUACAUUUUGACAAUAUGAUUAUUUAUGAUUAUGGUAAAUGUGUAAUUUUGUCAAUUCUUAUAUAUAUAUAUAUAUUAAUUGUUGAUGUUAGUCUCCAUUUAUGAUGUACGACGUAUGCCGUAAUUGCUUUCACAGUAUUACGACACUAAACAAACGUUGUAUCAAAUAUAAAUUACGGCACACAGGUAUGCCGUAAUUGUUUUUGCAGUAUUACGACACUUCAUUAACACCGUAUCUAAUACCAAUUAAGGCGCGCAAGGCAUGCCUUAAAGAGUAUUUACAACGUGUUUUGCUUAAAUUAUUCACGGCUACUAUAGAACGUCGUAUUUGACAAAACAUCUUUUAUGACAUGGGUUUUUACUGCUUGGGGGCUCACGCUGUGAAUAAUCGUUUACGGCGCUCUUUGUGCACCACAAAAGACUAGUUAUGUUGUAGUGAUAUUAUGUAACAAAUGCUCAAUUUUCUUUUGCACUCUUUUAUGAAUUUCAUUUGGAUGGGAAUGGUUACGUGACAUUACUUGUUACACCAGAAAAUGUCUGGUUUUGGUAUAAAGACUUAACUGCAAAAAGGCAUCUGAAAGGUUUCGUUUAGCUACUAAGAAAGUUUGGGAGGGGUCAAACGUCUUAGGUUGAGAUUACAUAUACAAGGGUGUUAGAUUUACAUAAUGGGUUUACAUAAUGAGUUGUUGAUGACUACAUACACAUUGAGAAUUUAGCUUAUGUCUUUGUGUCCGAUGAGGGAGUGGUUUUUUUUUUUUUUUUUUUUUUUUUUUUUUUUUUUCGGGUGUCAUUCCAUUUUAAUCUUAGUUCCAUUCAAAUGAAGAUAUUUAAAGAACCUAACGUAAAACAUCUGUACAAGCAAAACACAUCUUAGCAACGCCAAUAAAAUUAUCUACGAGAGUUGAUCCAAUCCAGGCAAGCCGCACGGUGGGUUAUUGAGGACAAAGCUGCCGAGAUCCAUAUUAAAACUCCAAUUUGGCAACUGAUGAGCAACACAAUUCCGCUCCCUAGAUACAUGCUUCAUGCUUCAGCUCAGCUCACAUCUAACCAAUUGACUCAUCAAUGUUUUGCAUAUGCUCACAAUUGUAUCAAGAGGAUAAUAACUAUCAACCAAAUUUUGUUAGAACAAAGUGACAGCAAACACCUCUGUCAAUAAAAUCUCCUUAUCCCAAAUGGACGCAGAUUGUCUGCCCUCCUAGUUGUGGUGCCGUUCCAUGCCCUCCUAUUUUGUGCGGUUACGGUUAAACCACAUCAACAUUUUAUAUUAAUUUUUUAAUGAGAUAAUAAGACAAAAAAUAAUAAAAAUAUAAAAUAUUGACGUGGCUUAACCGUGGCUGCACAAAAUAGGAGGGCAUGGAAGGGCACCACAACUAGGAGGGCAGACAAUCCUUGUCCAUCCCAAAUUGGCUGAGAACUCUACCCACACCAAUAUUGAACCAUCAACGUCAAGCUUUCACCCAGUUCUCGACUUUUUGCGUGUUUACUACAAGUAUGGAAUCUGAAGGGCUAGUUGAUUCGUAGCUCAAUACUUGAAAAUUAGGAGUCAAAUCAAAAUGUUUAUUUUUUAUUGGUAACACAUUUGCAAAUUUGGUUUAAAAAUUAAGUUACCUGAUAUUAUCCUAAUAUAAAUAUCUUUUGACAAAUAAAAAAUGCAUACAAAGAUAAAUUUGAGUGGUGAUAUCCACACACUCAUUUUUACCUUUCACACACCUUUAUUAUUUCCCGGGCUGUUGAACAAUUGAAACAAUCAAAUAAUAUAAAUUAAUAAGUGAUGUGUGAAAAAUAGAAAUAAGCGUGUGAAGAGCCACAAAACUAAACAGAUACCCAAAAAUACCACAACACACAAAGUCAGUCGUUACAUUUCAGUUGCAAAUGAAAAUUAUGAACACUGGGAUUUGCUCUCUCUAUCGCUGAGAGAUUCUCUGUUAUUGAUGGCAAUGGCGGACAAUGGCAGUCGUCUGCAAAUGCAUAACAUCGAGGAGGAGCUUCUUCUGCUUCAGAGCAGUCAGUUUCGACGACAAGCCCGACCGCCGAAACCUCCUCCGAAACGUUUUGACCCUUCCCGUCUUUAAAAAAGGCCUCUUCACUUGCUGCAGCCCAUCCCUUGCCGGAAGCAGUAUUCUCAGGUUUAUCUCACACAAUUACGGGUUUUUCCCGUUUUCUUUUGAGUUGCACGGUCUGUUUGGUUCCCCAGAAAACGCAGGAAAUUUUUGAAAGUUUUUGAGCUUCUGUAGGGUUUACUAAAGUGAAUACUUGACUAGGUUCAGUUGGGUUGCUGAUAAAUUCAAACAACGAAAUUUAGACGCGAAUGCUUUUAAUUGAUUUGAAGAGAAGUUUCUGAGCUAGUUUAUUGCUUUUGAAUGUUCAAAUUGGAUCCUAUAAAUGUGUCUGUGUGAUAAUUAGAUGAUUUGUUGCUUGCAGUAUGGAAGCACGAGAGAAUUCCAUAUAUGUGAUGAUGCCAGUUGAUGCCUUUUGCAUUGAUGGUACAGGGCGUCCAAGGAUUAGGAAGUAAGGUCAUCUCCAACCGAAGGGUCCAGAGGGCCAGAGGGCCGAAAAUAGCCCUAAAACCGUCUCCAACCGAGGGCUAGGCCAGAGGGCUCUGGAAUCUGGGAGGGCCCCACGGGAUCGGAGAGGGCUGGAGGGCUGGCUGCUUUCGGCCAGCCAGCCAGCCCCGGGCUGGCUUAUUUUUUUUUUAAUAGUUCUACUAUUAGUGUCGGUUAUAACCGACACUAAUAGUUUGAAUGUUUUUUAAUACAACGGCUAGUAGCCGUUGUAUUAUUAGGCCUUUUUUUUUUUUUUUUUUUUUUUAACUUUUUAUUUUCCCUUUUUUUUUCCUUUUCAUAUUAAUCAAAUUUUGUUUCAUAUUUUUUUUCAAUUCUAUUUUACAAAAUUUGUUUCAAUUUUUUUUUAAAUUCUAUUUUUUUCCUAUAACUUCUAUUUUACAAAAUUUGAUUCAUAUUUUAUUUCCUAUAACUUCUAUUUUACAAAAUUUGAUUCAAAAUUUGUUGACGUCACCUAGCCGUUAGAUUUGAAUUUAAAUUGUAGUUUUUAAAUAAUAAAUUAUGUUUGGCCCUAUGGCCCUUUGGCCCUCGGUUGGAGACGGUUUUUUGUGACAGGGCUAAAACGAGCCCUCUGGCCCUCUGGCCCUCGGUUGGAGACGGAGGCAAAUAUGGCCAUGUACUGUUUAUUAAAAUAUUAAUAUCUUGGAGAAUCUUGGAGGGCCAGAGGGCUAAAACGAGCCCUCUGGCCAGUCAUCGGUUGGAGAUGGCCUAAGUUUUAUUAUGACUUUAUGUUGAUGAGGCUAUGAUGCAUUUUCAUUCUUAAUUUAAUUGUUGUACUCUUUUAAACGACAGAAUAUGAUUAGCUACAAGGUUGCAGCUAACUAUUUUGAUCUGUUCCCAAUUCAAGUUAUGUACGCGUACAUUUCAAAAUGGUUCUAAAUAAAAUUUAUUUUUAAUUUAGUUUCCUUUCAAGUGAGACAGAAUCUCCUUAUAUAUUGCACGAUUUAUUGUUGUUUCAGAAUCAAGGCCUUAACUGUAGCUCUGAAAGCACUCAAGUUGGCUGGUGUCCACGGAAUUGCAGUUGAGGUUUGGUGGCCUCUUGCAUAUGAUUGGUCUCUAUAUGAAGGGCUUUUCAAACUGAUUUCUGACUCAGGUUUGAAGUUGCAUGUUGCCUUGUCUUUUCACUCAAACGUUAACUCUUCUUCUAGCAGAAAAGGGGGUGUAACUCUUCCGCUUUGGAUCAUAGAGGUUUGUUUUCUCGGCAAUUUUGAAAUCCCAUUUGACUGUUUGGCCUUUUAUUGGUAAAAGUGCACAUGGCUGUACUGGAAUGAUUAAUUUACCCAGUCAUACUCUUUUGUGACAACAUAAGAAACAUAACCCAUUUGGAUGACUAGAGAUAGUAUCAACUUUUCUUCAGUUUCCUGCUCUGCAACAUGCUAUGGUCCUGUGUUCCCCAUUAGCAUACUUGAUUUUAGCUUUGAUGUGCAUAAAAAGUUUAUCUUUGCAAAGGGAUGUAACAGAAAAAUGAUAGUUUGGCCUUCAUUACAUGCCCAUCAGUUUGAAUCCUGAAUUUAGAUAAAGAAGUUGACCUCUUCUGUUUUUUUUUUCCUCCCAGAUUGGUGAUCAGAAUAAGCAUAUAUAUUAUCGGGACCAAAAUGGAUUUUCCAAUGAUGAUUAUCUUACACUUGGAGUUGACCAUGUUCCUCUCUUUUGCGGCCGGACUGCUCUCCAAUGUUAUGAAGAUUUCUUGUCAGGUUUUGCUAAGAAAUUUGAAUCCUUAAUUGGAACUGUGAUAGAAGAAAUUGGUGUUGGUCUUGGAUGUUACUGUUACACUAGAACCACAAGUAUGAAGCCAGUCCAAUGAUUUCUUAUGCAACAUUGUUACAUUGCUCACACUGAUAUCCUGCACAUCCUUUUGGUGAUGGUAGAUGGAAGUUUCCUGGAAUCGGUGAAUUCUAAUGCUAUGACAAGCGCAUGUAUGCUAAAAAUCUUUCAUUCCUGUGACAGAAAUUUGGUUGCUAUUGAACUUUUCCUAUUUACAACGUUGUUCCUUUUAGGAUGGGCGACCUAAAGAUGGCUGUAGGCAAGGAAGGAAAGCCUCAGUGGGGAGGGAAGGGACCACAAAAUGCUGGCUGUUACAACAGUCUCCCAUCUGAAGUUCCAUUCUUUGAAGAGGGAGAGGAAAGCAUUCUUUCUGAUUAUGGGUGUUUUUUCCUUGUAUGAAACUGAUGGAAGCAUCUUGCUUUAUUAUUUCCCAUGAAAAAUUUCUGCAUAACUGAAGCCUAGUGUAAAUUGCAUGAAAUCAUUGUUUGUAUUUCAUCCUCGAACUACCACAUUGUUUCUUUAGCCAGGAAACACUUCUGUGUACGUGCCUGUAAACAACAUGGGCCUGCAAUAUAUAUUUUCAAUCUUUAGUGGAACUUUUCUUAUAACUAACUCUAUUUGCUUCUAGGGGUUAUACUUGCAGACUGUUUGCUACUGGAGUCUUAAAUACUCUUACGCAACAUGAUUAAAAGUAGAUGCAAUUUGAUUAAGAAUGAAAUGCAUUGAUGCUUGUCUUCUGGAAAGAAAAAAAAAUCAUCAUAGGAUGUACUGGUUAGUAAACUAAGGACAAUUAUGGAUGUAUAAGUGGAAAUUUAAAUCAUGUAUGGUUCUUUAUCAUGCAAUACUUGGCAUAACAUAAUUAAACUUAUUGGAAAACAAUGUGGAGCUUAGGAGAUCUGACAGUGGCUUGACUUGUUGUAGGAAUGGUACAGUGGUCGGUUGCUCCAUCAUGCAGAUGAUAUUCUUGCAAAGGCAGCUAACAUUCUGAAGAAAUAUCAAGAAUAGAAGCAAACUUCUAUUCUAUUGGCAGCUAAAAUUGGUGGUACCAGAUGAGAGCACAGCCUGCUGAAUUGACAGCUUGAAACUACAGCAGUGCUCUUAAAGAUGGUUAUGAUCAUGUUGCUUCAAUUUUGUCUCGUCAUGGAGCUGCUUUGCAUGUUUCGUAAGAUUCCAAGUUUUAAGGUUCUGACUAGAAUUUUGUUCAUUGUCUAACCUGAUAAUUAGGGUUGCUUACACAUUCGCUUGAUUUCAAAUGUAUCUAUCUACCAUGUUCACGUACUAAAUAUUUUAUUGCAGCAGCUUAGAAAUGAUGGAUGGUGAUAACCCGGCAUCCUAUCUUUGCAGUCCAGAAGGAUUACUCCAACAGGUACGGGGCCUGUUAAUUAAUAACACUUCCUUAGCUUGUGCUUUGUUGGUACUUUUUUUAACUUACUUUAGAAAUUUUAUCUGUAUAAUUCAAGCUUUUAAGUUAGGUAGGACUAACCCAUGUAGCUGUGCUUGUCACAGCAGGUCGUGCAGGGUCUCUAGGUUCAACAUGGGCUUGGAACGGGCCAAUAUGAGCUUUUUCAGUAUUACAGAUAUUAGGUAUUGUUGAUAUGUUUUUUAGGCUUCUUUUAGUGUCUUAUAAUUCAUUCUGAAGUAAAUCUUUAGUUUUAAUUGGGUUGUCUUGCCCAGAUAAUAAAGAAGAAACAUAUGACAAGUUGAUCAAUAACCAUUUUUCUGUUUUAUUGAAGUUUGGAAUAUAAUUGAUAAUUUGAUAUUACUAAACAACAAAAAUAGAAUUGCAUCACUAUACCGUAUAUUAGUGUCGUACUACUUUAGAUUGGCAUGGUCUGUCCAUUUACACUGGUGGGUGGUGGUAGUGCCUAGUGGUGGCUUCUGUUGUCUAGAAUUCUAUCGGUCAUUUGGUUUCUUCGAUAAAAUGUCUGACCUUAUGCUUUGUUUAUUGGGUAUAUAUCAUAUUAUACAAUUCCAAUGUAGUCUAACAUGAUUCGAUUUGCACCAGAUAUGGAGUGUUUCAAAGAAAUGGGCACAUUUGAUCGGGAGAAAUACCAAUGAAGGAUUUGACAGGGUCAGUUCUUCCUUUGCUCAAGAACAAAAGCAAAUUUCAGCUACCAUUUAUUUCUAUUAGACAUAUAUUGGAGACUUGGGAGCAGCCUCUCCAUAAAUGGAGAUAAGGUUAGCCGACAUUCACCUCUCCCAGACCCUGCGUAAAGCGGGAGCCUUGUGCACUGGGUACGACCUUAGACAUAUAUUGGAUAUUGCAAAUGUCUUAUAACUAGAAACACAUGGCUUCUGAUAGCGUUAGUUAAACACUUCUUCUUUUGCCCAUUCUGUGUUGCGCGUUCACGCGUCUGCUUUUCUCUUGCACGUUGGUUUAUGGCAAAUACAUACUAACUAUUACCAUUCCCAGGCCGAAGCUGUAAGAUCAUUUACAUAUUUCAGAAUGAAUGAUAAGAUCUUUAGGGCUGAAAAUUGGAGUAAUUUCCUUCCUUUUGUUAAAAAGAUGAGCACAAAUUGGUGAAGCAACCAAAAAACCCAACUUAAAUACUAAAUUUAUUGAUCUAGAGUAGCAGCCUCACUACCCUAUAAUUUUUUGUCAAGGGCAUGUGUAGAAGUUAAGAAGUUUGUCACUUCCUGAUAUAUUGACUGAAAUAACUUUGUGUUUCCAUGGCAGGCGUUCUUGACCUGGAAGUGUAAAUUUUUGAAACGGAUUUGGUUGGCCGUAGAAACUAAAUGCUUUACUAUCAAAAUACGAGAAGAAUAAUUGGAAUUGCAAUCUUGGUACUACUGGUCACAUUGCCUAGUCAAAUACAGGUACAACAUUUCAAUUUAAGGAAUAUACACAUACUGUCAUAUCCGUCACUAUACGAAAAUAAUGUAGUCUUUGCAGAUCGAAAACAACAAUAAGAAAAUGGAUCCGAAAAUAUAGAGAACAAAAAGAACUAAGAGUUCACUCCUUCACAGUCCUUCAAAUACUUAGUCUUGAUUUUGGUGAGUGUGAUUGCAGCAUCUUCUUCACAGUCCUUCAAAAACUUAGUCUUGAUUUUGGUGAGUGUGAUUGCAGCAUCUUUCAUGUUAAUCCUCUCUCCCGGCAAUGCUGCAGUACAAGCUAAAGCUAAUCUCAUAACGGAUGAUAAGCAAUCCCUCUUGCUCACAAAAUCACCAUCUUCCUCCGCCCCAAGUAUAUCGGCAUCCACAACUUCACCUAUUGCAGCAUCUGGAAAUAAUGAAUCUGCAAUCCAUUGCUUUAAAUUCAUUUCCCCAACAAACAUCUCAUCCGUUGGCUUCCUUUUUGUGAAUGUCUCCAUGAGUACAAUACCAAAACUAUACACAUCCCCUCUUGUCGAAACGCUUCCUUCCAUCCCAAACUCUGCAAAAUUUGUAUGUGAAUUUAGUUAUAUAUGAUAAAAAGAAAAUUAUAACUCCUAAUAAGACCAACAUAUACAAAAUUGAGAAAAUACAUCACCUGGAGCCAUAUAUCCAACUGUGGCUAGGGUCAUGGUUUCUGUCAUCGAAUGUCCACCGCCGAUGAGUCUUGCAAUGCCAAAAUCAGCAACAUGUGCAACCAUAUCAUCAUCUAGUAGUAUAUUGCUUGGUUUCACAUCACAAUGAACAAUAGGUACCGAGUAACCAUGAUGAAGAUAUUCCAGUGCCAAUGCAACAUCUUUCAUUACGUCCAGCCUCUGCAGGAUAUUCAUGGAGCUGUUUGGAGAAUACAACCAGUUUUCGAGGCUUCCAUUAGGCAUCAAUUGAAGUAUCAGGGCUUUGAAAUCAAGUUCAUCGCAGCAACUUAUGAUUUUAAUAAGAUUCCGGUGACGGAUAUUGCUUAGCAUUUCACAUUCCCUAUCAAAACUUUU